UAUUAGGUUGGUGCGAAAGUAAUUGCAGUUUUUGCCAUUGAGAGUAAUGGCAAAAGCUGCAAUUACUUUCACACCAACCUAACA
rfam:Chlorocebus sabaeus isolate 1994-021 chromosome 23, whole genome shotgun sequence.